GGACUAUUUAUGGUCUGGAUUUGAAAUCCGGAUUAGGUUUAAUUAACCGUAGUCUU
rnacentral:tRNA from 1 species